AAUUCAGAGAUGUUAAGACUAUCUAAUGUAGAGGUAAGAGUAUCGUAAUGAGAGGUAAGCAGGAGGCUAGAAGGCUAAUGUAGAGGUAAGAGUAUCUAAUGUAGUGGUAAGAGUAUCUAAUGUAGUGGUAAGAGGAGCUAGAGGAGCUAAUGUAGAGGUAACAGUAUCUAAAAGUAGUGUAAGAGUAUCAAUGUAGAGUAAAGAAGUAUCUAAUGUAGAGGUAAGAGUAUUAAAUUCGUAGAGUAAGAGUAUCUAAUGUAGUAGUCGGAGUAUCUAAUGUCGAGGUAAGAGUAUCUUAAUGUGAGGGUAAGAGUAUCUAAUGUAGUGGUAAGAGUAAUUCUAAUGUCGAGGUAAGAGUAUUCUAGUGUAGUGGUAAGAGGAGCUAGAGGAGCUAAUGUAGGGUAAAGAGUUCUAUGGUAGAGGUAAUGAGUAGCUAAUUAGAGGUAAGAGUAUCUAGUGUAGUGGUAAGAGGAGCUCAGAGUAUCUAUGUAGAGGUAAGAGUAUCUAAAUGUAUUGGUAAGAGUAUCAAUGUAUGGUAAGAGUAUU
rnacentral:lncRNA from 1 species